rnacentral:tRNA from 1 species
GCUCGGGUGGCGAAAUGGCAUACGCACUGGUCUCAAGAACCAGCGAGGGUAACCUCAUGGGAGUUCGACUCUCCCCCCGAGCA